CAGUUCAGAUUGCAGGCUGCAACUCGCCUGCAUGAAGUCGGAAUUGCUAGUAAUCGUAGGUCAGCAUACUACGGUGAAUACGUUCCCGGGGCCUUGUACACACCGCCCGUCAAACCAUGGGAGCCGGUAAUACCCGAAGUCAGUAGUCCAACCACGUGAGGACGCUGCCGAAGGUAGGAUUGGCGACUGGGGUGAAGUCGUAACAAGGUACC
rnacentral:rRNA from 1 species